rnacentral:rRNA from 1 species
CCUACGGGCGGCAGCAGUGGGGAAUUUUGCGCAAUGGGGGCAACCCUGACGCGGCAACGCCGCGUGAGUGAUGAAGGCCUUCGGGUCGUAAAGCUCUGUCAGAGGGGAAGAAAUGCAGGUGGUGAACAACCAUUCUGUUUGACGGUACCCUCAAAGGAAGCACCGGCUAACUCCGUGCCAGCAGCCGCGGUAAUACGGAGGGUGCGAGCGUUGUUCGGAAUUAUUGGGCGUAAAGCGCGUGUAGGCGGUUUGUUAAGUCUGAGGUAAAAGCCCCGGGCUCAACCGGGGAAGUGCAUUGGAUACUGGCAGACUUGAGUACGGGAGAGGAGAGUGGAAUUCCCAGUGUAGGAGUGAAAUCCGUAGAUAUUGGGAGGAACACCGGUGGCGAGGGCGGCUCUCUGGACCGAUACUGACGCUGAAGCGCGAAAGCGUGGGGAGCGAACGGGAUUAGAUACCCUUGUAGU